rnacentral:tmRNA from 1 species
GGGGGCGAUCGGUUUCGACUGCGAAUGUUCAAUCCAGGAGAAGCGUGCCGAGGCAUGCGGCGAACACCUCGCUAAACAGGCGCCGUCAACAAUAAAUGCCGACAAGAACUCGGCCGCGCGUACCACCUACGCACUCGCUGUCUAACCGCAGCCAGAUGGUGUGACCGCUGUCAGCCCGGGAAGCCUCCGGCCCGGUGCCUGGCAUCAAUGAGGAGGAUCCACCUUGGUAUCCGGCUGCGGGACCCCAAGGAACACUCAACAGCAGCUAAGCCCACGGCGACGAGUCCGCACGAUCGCCAUGGGCCGAAAACUGAGCAGCGGACUGCGCACGGAGAAGAACUGGAAUGACCUCGUAGGACCCGGGUUCGAUUCCCGGCGCCUCCACGU